CCUACGGGGGGCAGCAGUGGGGAAUAUUGCACAAUGGGCGCAAGCCUGAUGCAGCGACGCCGCGUGAGCGAUGACGGCCUUCGGGUCGUAAAGCUCUGUCCUAAGGGAAGAAUAAUGACGGUACCUUAGGAGGAAGCCCCGGCUAACUACGUGCCAGCAGCCGCGGUAAUACGUCGGGGGCGCGUGUUAUCCGGAAUCACUGGGCGUAAAGGCUGCGUAGGCGGCCCUGUAAGUCAGGAGUUAAAUCCCUCGGCUCAACCGAGGUCGGCACUUGAAACUGUAGGGCUUGAGGGCAGGAGAGGAGAGGGGAAUGCCUAGUGUAGCGGGGAAAGGCGUAGAUAUUAGGCGGAACAGCAGUGGCGAAGGCGGCUCUCGGGACUGCAACUGACGCUGAGGCACGAAAGCGUGGGGAGCGAACAGGAUUAGAUACCCGAGUAGUC
rnacentral:rRNA from 1 species